rnacentral:rRNA from 1 species
AGCUGCCUUCGCCAUUGGUAUUCCUCACUGAUAUCUACGCAUUCUCACCGCUACACCAGAAAUUCUACUCUCCUCUAUCGUACUCUAGUUUAUUAGUUCUGAGAUGCAGUUCCUAAUUGAGCCCAGGGCUAUCACAUCCAACUUAUCUAACCACCUACGCGCGCUUUACGCCCAGUAAUUCCGAUUAACGCUUGCACCUUCCGU